rnacentral:lncRNA from 1 species
AAACCUUGCAUACACUUGAGAGCUAUCACCCUCCAUGUGACCCGUGGAUAUGAAAUAUGAAAGAGACGAAGGAGAUCUUCCUAGGAGACUUAAUGAAUAUGUCUGACUUUGGCUACAACCAUUUCUCUGAUUUCUUUGCUUUUACCUCAUUCACACAUGUCAUGGCGGCACAACCAGUAAUAAUUCCCAGAUAUAAAAACCAAUACAGGAAAGAGCUUUAUCCUUCUCAUGCAUGAUUCUUCCUGACAAAAUAGAAACAAAAGGCAAAUCCGUAUCUAGUGACAGAUAAUGCCACAUUACAAUUAAUUAUUCUUUAAAUGCCAGAUGAUACAUGGUACUACCAACACGUUUACAACAUAACAGAAGGUAUUGUAAAAAGUCAUGUGAAGAUUUCCUUUCCCCAAUGGUAUAUGUCAAUAGAAAAUUGCAUAAAUGGUCGUUGUGAGGAAAUAAAGCCUAUGGUACAUCUGAUCUGGUUACCUUGAUCUUCCAUCGGACAAGAUAUCUUCACCAUCUCCACCACCUCUCUCACAGCCUUCUCAUGCUUUGGUGCAACUGGCCAUGCCCAACUUCUCAUCAUCCUUCCACCAGAAUCCUUUCCAUCCUUUCCAAGGUGCCUGGCUAAGGAGGCUAAAAAUUGCACUCUUAAGCACAAAACAUACAACAAUAUAAUUGAACCUAAGAAGCAUGAUGUCUGCAUAACUUACUCUCACCAUGUUUGUCAAAACUACCAUAAUACUACUGUGUAGCCAAUCAAAAACCUUGGUUACCUCUUUCCAUGAUCAGUGAGAAGGUCAAUAUGUACUCAGAUUAUUUUUUUCAUCACUGCAUCAUUAUGAACCCUUUGUUCUUUGCAUGAAGAAAGCUAUUGGCUUAAAGAACACUACAAUCUGGUGUUGUGUUGUUCAGUCGAAAUUGGAAAGUGUUGUGUUUCAGCUCUGUUCAUGCAUCAUUGAAUCCAACAAAUAACAUCAAAGAAUCCAACAAUCCGAGCAACGUUCAUGCAUCAUUGAAUAACAUUGAAAAUAGGAACCUAGAGGAUGGUAGAAGAAGAACAGACCUUACAGUUGCAGGGGCCAGAGUUACUUUGGUAAAAUUCAGCCUCCGUGCAGUGCAUCUCAGGUUCAUAGUCUGCAGUUGUGUAACUUCAGUGUCCAAACUAAUGUUAUAUAAUCUGUUAAUACGGAGAAAUUAUAGAAAAGCUCGAAAUUUCAGACGGAGGUAAACGAAUAAAUGGAUCUUCAAUAGCUAUACUAGUUGGUGUGAUUCAAACAGAUCAUAAUUGCAUAUAAAAUUGGAUUAGGCAUUCAUUUCAAAUCAGUUACAAUUCAUAAGAACCAUGGAUGAUUGCCAAAGUGAUGAAUGCCAAUCCAUGAAUGGGCAGACACUAACAACCCAGAUCAGAGAUUGGUGCAGCCUUCCUUGCUAAUUGUAUGGUACAGAAUUACUGCUUGCUUCAACCAAUUCGCGUAGUACAGCUUUGUAAGACAUAACCGAAGAACGAAGAAUCAGUUUAGGUACGGAAGGUGGAUGAUUUGCUUCUCCUAAUUAGCGUAAUACAGAUUUCCAUAUCUUACCCGAAGAAGGAAGAACAGGCUAUUUAAUCAGGUCCGACCGCAUUGAGAAUGAAAGGGAAACUUUGAACAGAUUCAGAAACCACUUUACUAACUCAAAUGAAAGGAAAAAAUGCAUGAUGGGGAUGAGGUUCUUGAGCAGAAUGGCACAUGACAAAUACACCACAUUGUUUUUAUGCAUCAAACCUGACACUCACAAGUCACAAAAUACCACUGCAGUCAUAGUUCUAAAAUGUAAUAAAACUAUGCUUAGAAUAUAUUUUUAUGGUAAAUCUAACUAUGGUGUUCCAGUUGUAUCAGUACAAUUAUAUAGCUGGUGAAGCAAAUACUAUAUCUUAAAUUUUAAGCUGCAAAAUAGAGGGGCUGUUUGGACUCUCUCCACUUUCCAACUCCACGCCGGAGCGGAGCAGGAUCUAGUUCUAAUUUGAGGAGUGGCUGGAAGGCCGCUCCGCUGGCUCCGGUCCGUGGCGAUUUGCCGAACAGGGCCAGAAUAUCAUGAUUGCCAUGAGAUCCGAUAAUGAAAGGUCAAUUAUCAUAAUCUUUUCAUAUAUAUGUACUAAGUGGUACUCAAGGUAUGGUGUCACUGUGAUAGCUCACAUAAAAUAAUUUGAUUAAAUAGUUGCAAGCUAAAGAAGUUUAGACCAUAUUAAAUAAUUCAGUUAAACAUUUACAUACAAAAGAGUUUCAACCGUUACCACUUAAUCUUGUUUUAUCGGCAGAGUUGGAACUCCACUCCUAAGUAAACAGAGACAACCGAGUUAAACAUCACAAAAAUAUAUCACAUCUUAUCAAUCUUGUGGAUCUGAAGUUUUUGAAACCAACUUUGGGACACCAAAACUUGCGUGCUAUAAAAUCUACAGAAGAAAGUUGAAACAAAGCAACAAUAAAUGAUAGAAGAAAGAGAGGCAUCUACCAGAAUCGAAG